AGAGUUUGAUCCUGGCUCAGGAUGAACGCUAGCUACAGGCUUAACACAUGCAAGUCGAGGGGAAACGACAUCGAAAGCUUGCUUUUGAUGGGCGUCGACCGGCGCACGGGUGNGUAACGCGUAUCCAACCUGCCCACCACUUGGGGAUAACCUUGCGAAAGUUAAGACUAAUACCCAAUGACGUCUCUAGAAGACAUCUGAAGGAGAUUAAAGAUUUAUCGGUGAUGGAGUGGGGAUGCGUCUGACGUUAGCCUUGUUGGCGGGGUAACGGACCCGACCUAAGGCGAACGAGUCCUAAGGUAGGGGUUUCGUACGGUAGGACGGUAAGGGGUACCCCCCCAGUAACGUUGGGAAACCGUUGGAACGUCCG
rnacentral:rRNA from 1 species